AUUGAACGCUGGCGGCGUGCUUAACACAUGCAAGUCGAACGGAGUGGCGAACGGGUGAGUAACACGUGUGUGACCUGCCCUGCACUUCGGGAUAAGCCUGGGAAACUGGGUCUAAUCCCGGAUAGUGUGGGAUGGGCCCGCGGCCUAUCAGCUUGUUGGUGGGGUAAUGGCCUACCAAGGCGGCGACGGGUAGCCGGCCUGAGAGGGUGGACGGCCACAUUGGGACUGAGACACGGCCCAGACUCCUACGGGGGGCAGCAGUGGGGAAUAUUGCACAAUGGGCGGAAGCGUGAUGCAGCGGCGCCGCGUGGGGGAUGACGGCCUUCCGGUUGUAAACUCAUUUCACGAUUGACGCGGUAGAUGGAGAAGAAGCACCGGCUAACUACGUGCCAGCAGCCGCGGUAAUAC
rnacentral:rRNA from 1 species